rnacentral:rRNA from 1 species
GUAGGUGGCAAGCGUUGUCCGGAAUUAUUGGGCGUAAAGCGCGCGCAGGCGGUUUUUUAAGUCUGAUGUGAAAGCCCACGGCUCAACCGUGGAGGGUCAUUGGAAACUGGAGAACUUGAGUACAGAAGAGGAAAGCGGAAUUCCACGUGUAGCGGUGAAAUGCGUAGAGAUGUGGAGGAACACCAGUGGCGAAGGCGGCUUUCUGGUCUGUAACUGACGCUGAGGCGCGAAAGCGUGGGGAGCAAACAGGAUUAGAUACCCUGGUAGUCCACGCCGUAAACGAUGAGUGCUAAGUGUUAGGGGGGUUUUCCGCCCCCCUUAGUGCUGCAGCUAACGCAUUAAGCACUCCGCCUGGGAGUACGGCCGCAAGGCUG